rnacentral:lncRNA from 1 species
AUGUUCGUCAGCGAUUAGAUCAGAAUAUACAUCAAUUAUUAUCUUUGAAUCAUUUUUUUGUGAUAAAUUUCAAUUUUUUUAGUGACUUUUUGAUAAAAUUUGAAAGAGGUGUAUUUUUAAAAAGUGGUAUUGGAAAAAUGGUAUUUUUGAUAUUCUCCCUUUUUUAUUCAUGAUUUGGUUAACUAAUAUUAUUUAUUUAUAAAAUUAAAAAAAAAAAAUAGUUGAGUUGAGUAGGGUUAUCCGUUACUCAUUAGGUAAUGAGUUCAGUUGAGUUGGGUUAUCCAUUUAAGUAUCAUGUGAUUAUAUCACCAUAGUUUCUCCAUCA